rnacentral:rRNA from 1 species
GAAAGAUGGCUUUGGCUAUCACUCUGGGAUGGACCUGCGGUGCAUUAGCUAGUUGGUAAGGUAACGGCUUACCAAGGCGAUGAUGCAUAGCCGAGUUGAGAGACUGAUCGGCCACAAUGGAACUGAGACACGGUCCAUACUCCUACGGGAGGCAGCAGUAGGGAAUCUUCCACAAUGGGCGCAAGCCUGAUGGAGCAACACCGCGUGAGUGAAGAAGGGUUUCGGCUCGUAAAGCUCUGUUGUUGGAGAAGAACGUGCGUGAGAGUAACUGUUCACGCAGUGACGGUAUCCAACCAGAAAGUCACGGCUAACUACGUGCCAGCAGCCGCGGUAAUACGUAGGUGGCAAGCGUUAUCCGGAUUUAUUGGGCGUAAAGCGAGCGCAGGCGGUUGCUUAGGUCUGAUGUGAAAGCCUUCGGCUUAACCGAGGAAUUGCAUCGGAAACUGGGCGACUUGAGUGCAGAAGAGGACAGUGGAACUCCAUGUGUAGCGGUGGAAUGCGUAGAUAUAUGGAAGAACACCAGUGGCGAAGGCGGCUGUCUGGUCUGCAACUGACGCUGAGGCUCGAAAGCAUGGGUAGCGAACAGGAUUAGAUACCCUGGUAGUCCAUGCCGUAAACGAUGAGUGCUAGGUGUUGGGAGGUUUCCGCCUCUCA